UGCAGUCGAGCGGUAAGGCCCCUUCGGGGGCACACGAGCGGCGCACGGGUGCGUAACGCGUAUGCAACCUGCCUUAUGCAGGGGGAUAGCCCAUGGAAACGUGGAUUAAUACCCCAUAAUAUUAUGAAUUCGCAUGGAUUUAUAAUUAAAAUUUCGGUGGCAUAAGAUGGGCAUGCGUCUGAUUAGCUUGUUGGUGAGGUAACGGCUCACCAAGGCGACGAUCAGUAGGGGUUCUGAGAGGAUUAUCCCCCACACUGGUACUGAGACACGGACCAGACUCCUACGGGAGGCAGCAGUGAGGAAUAUUGGUCAAUGGGCGAGAGCCUGAACCAGCCAUCCCGCGUGCAGGAUGACGGCCCUAUGGGUUGUAAACUGCUUUUCUACGCCAAGAAACGGCUCUACGUGUAGGGCACUGACGGUAGCGUAGGAAUAAGCAUCGGCUAACUCCGUGCCAGCAGCCGCGGUAAUACGGAGGAUGCAAGCGUUAUCCGGAUUCAUUGGGUUUAAAGGGUGCGCAGGCGGGGAUGUAAGUCAGUGGUGAAAAACUGCCGCUUAACGGUAGUCGUGCCAUUGAUACUGCAUCUCUUGAGUUUGGAUGAGGUAGGCGGAAUGUGCAGUGUAGCGGUGAAAUGCAUAGAGAUUGCACAGAACACCAAUUGCGAAGGCAGCUUACUAAUCCACGACUGACGCUGAGGCACGAAAGCGUGGGGAGCGAACAGGAUUAGAUACCCUGGUAGUCCACGCCGUAAACGAUGUUCACUCGCUGUUUGCGAUACACAGUAAGCGGCUGAGCGAAAGCAUUAAGUGAACCACCUGGGGAGUACGAUCGCAAGGUUGAAACUCAAAGGAAUUGACGGGGGCCCGCACAAGCGGAGGAACAUGUGGUUUAAUUCGAUGAUACGCGAGGAACCUUACCUGGGCUUAAAUGUA
rnacentral:rRNA from 1 species